AGAUAUGAGAGCUUGCGCUUAAAUAGGCUUAAUGGUAUAGCUAAGGUUCUUGGAGUACUUGCUUCUGUUGGAGGUAUUUCAGGCUGGUAAGAUUCCAAGAACCCCGUUUUGUUGAGUAUUUCAGGCUGGCUACUCCAGAGUUGGAGUAUGGCCGUAUGAAUAUCGGAAGUCGACCGGCAAAGCGAAAGCCAAGUGGAGGUAUUGAGACACUCCGUGCAAUACCUUGGAUUUUUGCCUGGACACAAACAAGGUUUCAUCUUCCAGUGUGGCUAGGCUUUGGGGCAGCAUUUAAGCAUGUUAUUGACAAGGAUAUUAGAAAUCUUCAAAUGCUUCAAGAGAUGUAUAACUAAUGGCCUUUCUUUAGGGUCACUAUUGAUUUAGUGGAAAUGGUGUUUGCUAAGGGAGACCCUGGUAUUGCUGCUCUGUAUGACAGGCUCCUUGUUUCAGACGACCUAUGGUCAUUUGGGAGCUGUUGAGAACCAAAUUCGAAGAAACUAAGAAACUUCUUCUUCAGCAUUAGAUGUUUUGGAUGAGUAGAUAGAGGAACUUUUGUCAAUGAUGGUGAAGCUUGGGUAAGAGGGAACCCAAAUCAAGUUUGUGGACGAGUAACUCAAAUUGUAAGGAGCACGUCUGGUUACUUGUUGGAUAAAGGAUAUCCAUUGCUUAUGAGUGAGUUUGGAGUAUAUUUGAGAGGUACUAAUGUCAAUGACAACCGUUAUCCUAGCUGCUUUAUAGCUUAUGAGUGAGUUUCUUCUCCAGAUAUCGGUGGUGGCCAAGUCGUGAACGAUGAAGUUGCUCGUCAACUCGGCUUCGAGAAAAUAUCCGACGAAUUCAUUCCAGAAUGCAAAUCCAAAGCCGACUAAUAUUUAGAUUGGCUGUCGGGAUUCGGGUCACAUUUUGAUGUUUAGAUUCUUGUAAAUUGAGUGAUUUAUUCAACAGGGGACAUUGGAGAGUGGCAGCCUAAUGGAAGCAAGAAGAUUAUUGAUAGGAAGAAGAAUAUAUUCAAGCUUUCACAAGGAGAAUAUGUCGCAGUUGAAAACCUGGAGAAUAUUUUUAGCCAAGUUCCUUCUAUUGAAUCUGUAAGUCUUGAGAGUCUUUCCAAUAGUUUUAGCGUCCUAGCUUGUAGUGAGAUUAAUGCCCAUACAGAGUUGAAAAAAGAUAUUUGACUCAUAAUAAUAGAAUUGAUUAACUAA